rnacentral:rRNA from 1 species
UACGAAGGGGGCUAGCGUUGCUCGGAAUCACUGGGCGUAAAGCGCACGUAGGCGGCUUUUUAAGUCAGGGGUGAAAUCCUGGAGCUCAACUCCAGAACUGCCUUUGAUACUGAGAGCUUGAGUCCGGGAGAGGUGAGUGGAACUGCGAGUGUAGAGGUGAAAUUCGUAGAUAUUCGCAAGAACACCAGUGGCGAAGGCGGCUCACUGACCCGGUACUGACGCUGAGGUGCGAAAGCGUGGGGAGCAAACAGGG